rnacentral:tRNA from 1 species
GGAUUGGUGAUUCAGAGGUAGAAUUCUCGCCUUCCAUGUGGAGACCCGGGUUUGAUUCCCAGCCAGUGUA